CCCUUAGAUGUCCGGGGCUGCACGCGCGCUACACUGAAUGAAUCAGCGUGCUAGAAAACCUUGUUUGACAUGGCUAGGUAACCCAUUGAAAAUCAUUCGUGAUUGGGAUCGGGACUUGCAAAUGUGUCCCUUGAACGAGGAAUUCCCAGUAAGUGCGGGUCAUCAGCUCGCGUUGAUUACGUCCCUGCCCUUUGUACACACCGCCCGUCGCUGCCCGGAACUGAGCCGUUUCGAGAAGACAGAGGAUUGCUGACUUGAGGCCUUCACGGGCUUCUAGUCGGUGAAAAUCAAUUUAAUCGCAGCGGCUUGAACCGGGCAAAAGUCGUAACA
rnacentral:rRNA from 1 species